GAAAUAUAUUCUGCAUCAAUGCAGGUAACCUUUCUGUUUGGGUUGUACUUGUAUAAAAUGAAGGUGACCACCAGCAAAAUCUUUAUGGGUUCACUGAGCAUUGAAUAAAGCAGUGAGUUGAAUAUCUGGCUUAAUUGGGAUGUCUUUUCCAAUCCUAUUCGUCUUUCACACCUUUCUAUUUAAACUUUCGUUUAAGCACUCUGCACGAGGACAGUUAUGUGGUUUGAUUUUUUUUUAUUUUUUAUAAUCCAACUUGUAGGUCCCACGCUCAAAUCCCAUUAGGAUGGUUUUAGGGGUUUAUGGGAUUGGAGUGAGCUACUUCCAUUGUUUAGUUGAAUACCUAAUGGGCCUCCUAAUCGAACAAAGAGGAGAAAGAAAGUGGGAAAUAAUUUUCUUUCCUGUAGUUUUUCUCUUGUACUAGUGCAACUUGUCUAAUCCGCAUGCUUUGCAUUCGCUCUUUCCUGACCUCUAGU
rnacentral:misc_RNA from 1 species